AGAGGGUAAACUCCCGUCUUUGAUGCAGAUUACUAUGAUCAUGUGAUACACUUUCUAAGAGUCGAGUUGUUUGGGAAUGCAGCUCAAAAUGGGUGGUAAAUUCCAUCUAAAGCUAAAUAUUGGCCUGAGACCGAUAGCGAACAAGUACCGUGAGGGAAAGAUGAAAAGCACUUUGGAAAGAGAGUCAAACAGAACGUGAAAUUGCUGAAAGGGAAGCGUUUGAAGUUAGUCUGAUAGAAGUUGUUCAAUUGUUACUUUGGUUUCAAUGUAUGCAACUUUUUAUCGGUCAACAUCAAUUUUGAUUGAUGGAUAAAGGUAAUAGAAAUGUGGCUACAUUUGUAGUGUUAUAGUCUAUUAUCAUAAACAUUGAUUGAGAUUGAGGACGGCAGUGUACCUUUUAGGAAGGUGUUCGCACCUAUUACACUAAGGAUGUUGACAAAAUAGCUUUAAGCGACCCGUCUUGAAACACGGACCAAGGAGUCUAACAUAUCUGCGAGUAUUUGAGUGACAAACUCGAAUGCGUAAUGAAAGUGAAUGUAGGUGUGAAGCGUAAGCUGCAACAUCGACCGAUCUGGAAUUUUUAUAAUGAUGGAUUUGAGUAAGAGCAUAUAUGUUGGGACCCGAAAGAUGGUGAACUAUGCCUGAAUAGGGUGAAGCCAGAGGAAACUCUGGUGGAGGCUCGUAGCGGUUCUGACGUGCAAAUCGAUCGUCAAAUUUGGGUAUAGGGGCGAAAGACUAAUCGAACCAUCUAGUAGCUGGUUCCUGCCGAAGUUUCCC
rnacentral:rRNA from 1 species